rnacentral:lncRNA from 1 species
GCAUGCAGAAGGCAGAAUUCAAGGACAGCAUGGUCUACAGAGUGAGUUCCAGGAUAGCCAGGGCUCCAUAGAGAAACCCUGUCUGGAAAAACAAAACAAAACAAAAACACAAAACACAUAAACAAACCCAACCAACCAAACAAAAACCAACAAAACAAAACCAAUAAAACAGAAAACCAAAAUCAGUGUAUGUAUGUACUAUUUCUUAGUUGUGAGACUAAUUAUGGUUAUUACAGUUAGUGUGUGUGGGCAUUUAUAGGAGCCCAAGGGAUGGUUGUCAUUGGGACAAUUAACUUCUAUAAAAUAAUUGUCCAGUGCUAAGCCUUUACAGUGAUGAAACUUUUUAGACACAGCACUUACCACUCUUUCACAGUGAAGACAAUAUAUGCCUCAUUGAGAAGGUAAUUUUCUGUUUUGUCUGUCCUAACACCAUCCAUGGUGCAACUGGUGAGACACACCACCAGUUUAUACCAUGAAAGCUAUUGAGCCUACGUGCAAAACUUUCUCACUCUGACUCUCAGAAUUUUAAUUUUAUAGUUGACUGAUUUUUAGGUUUUAAAGGUUUUUUUUUGUUUUUUUUGUUUUUGUUUGUUUGUUUGUUUGUUUGUUUUUUAGUUGGCUGGCCAUGGUGAGCACUCUUGGAAGGCAGAUCAAGAAGAUCAUGUUUAUAUUCAGCUACACAGCAAGUUUAAGACCAAUCUAAAGGAAAUGACACAGUGCCUGUUUCAAAGGAAAAAUGUAUGUGACUUAUCAUGUAUUUCCCAUGGACAUGUAUGAAAGCCAUAAGUAAAAUAAAAGUAGUUUCAUUAUUACAAUUAAUUCCCAAUUAGAAUAACCUUAAUCGUAGUUAGAAUGAUAAUUCUAAGUGUUUAUGUUUCCUCAAACAGUAUUGUUCUCUCUUUGUAUCUUGAAUAAUUUUUGAAAUAUCUCCUUUCUUCCUUCCUUCCUUCCUUCCUUCCUUCCUUCCUUCCUUCCUUCCUUUUUUAUAUUUGAGAUAGGGCCUUACUGUGUUGCUCUGAUGGGUUUAGAAAUCGCUAUGUAGACUGGGCUGGUUUCAAACCUGUAGCAAUCCUGCCUCCACCUCUGCCUCUCAAGUUCAGGUAUGCAUGACUAUCCGAUAAUAAAAAAUGUUUUUUUUUAAAGCGUCUAAACAUUGUCAUUCUUAAAAGAUGUCCGAAUGUUUAAUGAAAGUAUUGUUCUAAAAUAUCAUGUUUCCCAAAUUACUACACUCCUGCAAGGUUGAUUCUGGAGCUCUCUUGCUCUAGCCAGAUGCCAGCAGAAAGCAUCCAGAGGACACAUAAUAACCACUUUCCUCUCUCACAUAGUUUUUAAGAGUUUGGUGAUUGAAAUGUCAAGAGGCUGCAUCUGUCUAAUUAUGAUACUGAGACUAAUAACCAAAUUCACAAUAUGCCCACACAGUGACAACUACAUUGUGAGUGCUAGUCUUAUGACAACAGUUGCAAGGUUUCAUUGAUUGUGUCAUAAACAGUCAUUUUAGAGAUGCUAAAAUAAAACUAAAUGUGCCUUAGAAUUGAGGAAUAUGGACUAUGUAAAUUGUUGAAAUCUAAUAUAUACACAGAAUUUUACUGUGACAUUGCUCUUCGUUUUAGUAAACCCCACUAAUGUCUCUAGUAUCAUACAUGUGAUUCUGGUGGUAACAAUAACUCCAUACAUUGCUGAUUCCAUAUGUAUAACCAUCUAACUACCGAUCAUGCCACAGCAUCUAUAUUUUGAAAGAGAUUUAAAAUUAUUCUUUCAUUUAUCUUUAAACUACUACAAUGAUCUUACAUUGAUGAAAAAUUACACUUAAAAAAAAAGACAUGGGAAUGGAGGUGUACACCUUUAUCUAGUAUUUUGGAGACAGAGGCAGGUAGAUCUGAGCUUAAGGUCAGCUUGGUCGCCAUCGUGAGUUCCAGGACAGCCAGAGCUACAAAGAGAGUCACAGCCUCCCUUCCCCUCUCCCCCAUCUCCUGUCUCCCCUCUCUCUACCCCACCUCUACAAUAUAAUAUACUGAAUUUCAAGAAAGAAAAAUAGUCAUAAUAUAAAUUAUUAUAUAAUAAAAUAAAUGUAAUGUAGACAGAGGUGUUUCCAGCAGUAGAAAACAAAUCUUUAAACACUGAUAUAUACAAGAGAAAGAAGUCCACAUGUGAUUUUCUCAUUUCUUAUGAAGUGAUGUAAUAGCAAGCUGUUUUCUUUCUCCUGCAUUGCCCAGUAUUUUGGUUCAGCAUUUGAUGAUUCUCUGCAUCUUGGUUUAGGCUAAAUUCAAGAGUGUUUGCUACUCUUUCAACUGUGUGAAGAGUCAUUAGGUAAAGAAGUGGUGUAAUGUUAAAGAAUAACUCAGAAGUCACAGAGUGUAUUAUAGCAGUGUUUAUGUGUUUACAUAGGAAGUUAGCGAUACAUUUAUUUCACCUCAGUAAGGCAAAAAGAAUAUUUGUUAAGAGAAAAAGGAAAGGGGGACAGAAAAAGAAUUGGUAUUUGUGUGUACAUUUUAAUUUUAUUUAGAUAAUCAAUUGAUUUUCCUUUUUUUCUUUCCUUUUUUGGGAGAUAGGGCUAGGAAGAGGCAGGCCAGCCUGGACAACUGUCUUUGAGUGAGAACACUCACCUUUGGCAUAGAAAGAAAGAAAAAAAUCAAGCUGCAUGAUAUGCCAUGUGUUGUUCUCACCACCUCAGAGUCUUAGGCGAACCAGGAGCCAUUAUUUCCCUCAUUAGAGUUCUUAGGGUAAUGUUUUUUGUUUUUGUUUUUUUUCUUUAAACCCCUAUUCAAAGACUCUUACUGUAGUGUAACCAUAUUCUGGGAGGAAUCAAUUUCCCAGGGCAAAGAACUCUAAAGCUUUGUUCUAAUAGAAAUUCAAACAUUAAAUAUGCAAAAUUUAAGUUUCUGUUUUUUUCUAUCCCUUAAGGAUUAACAUCCGAAUUCUCAGACUUUAGCAAACUGAGAGACCGUGGUGAUUAAAUACAUAAAUAGCUUUUAUUUAUUUAAAUAAAUGAUUGAGUAAAUAAAUAAAUACAUUUUCU